ACCUGUGGAUAGCUCAGCUGGUAGAGCAUGAGACUCUUAAUCUCAGGGUUGAGAGUUUGAACCCCACUUUGGGCA
rnacentral:tRNA from 1 species